CCUACGGGUGGCAGCAGUGGGGGAUAUUGCACAAUGGGGGAAACCCUGAUGCAGCGACGCCGCGUGGGUGAAGAAGCGCCUCGGCGCGUAAAGCCCUGUCAGCAGGGAAGAAAAUGACGGUACCUGAAGAAAAAGCACCGGCUAACUCAGUGCCAGCAGCCGCGGUGAUACGUAGGGGGCAAGCGUUGUCCGGUUUUACUGGGUGAAAAGGGGGAGCAGACGGCGAUGCAAGCCAGGAGUGAAAGCCCGGGGCCCAACCCCGGGACUGCUCUUGACACUGCGUGGCUAGAGUGCAGGAGGGGCAGGCGGAAUUCCUGGUGUAGCGGUGAAAUGCGUAGAUAUCAGGAGGAACACCGGUGGCGAAGGCGGCCUGCUGGACUGCAACUGACGUUGAGGCCCGAAAGCGUGGGGAGCAAACAGGAUUAGAUACCCCAGUAGUC
rnacentral:rRNA from 1 species